rnacentral:tRNA from 1 species
GAGCCCCUGUGCUUAAGGGGAUUCGUCGUGGCCUUCUAAGCCGACGGUCGCAGGUUCGAAUCCUGCAGGGGUCGCCA